AAUCAACGCUGGCGGCGUGCCUCAGACAUGCAAGUCGAACGAGAAAGUUCCCUUCGGGGAGCGAGUAAAGUGGCGCACGGGUGAGUAACACGUAGGUAAUCUACCUUCGGGUGGGGAAUAACCCAGGGAAACUUGGGCUAACACCGCAUAAUGCAGCGGCACCACAUGGUGACAGUUGUUAAAGCGGGGGAUUUUCGGACCUCGCGCCUGAAGAGGAGCCUGCGGCGGAUUAGCUUGUUGGUAAGGUAACGGCUUACCAAGGCGACGAUC
rnacentral:rRNA from 1 species